rnacentral:rRNA from 1 species
AUGGCCUGUGCUGUUGUUCCGUUGAAUUUUAAUGCGUUCCUUGAGAAAGAAAAGUUGAAAGAUGAUGGUAGCAAUUACACGGACUGGGUCCGUAACUUGAGGAUUAUCCCCAUUGCUGCACAGAAGCAUUACGUCCUGGAAGCACCACUGGGUGCCAGGCCUGUUGCAGAUGCAACUGACGACGUUAAAAACGUCUGGCAGAGCAAAGCCGAUGACUACUCGAUAGUUCAGUGUGCCAUGCUUUACGGCUUAGAACCGGGGCUUCAACGACGUUUUGAACGUCAUGGAGCAUAUGAGAUGUUCCAGGAGUUGAAGUUAAUAUUUCAAGCAAAUGCCUGGAUUGAGAGAUAUGAAGUCUCCAAUAAGUUCUAUAGCUGCAAGAUGGAGGAGGAUAGUUCUGUCAGUGAACAUAUACUCAAAAUGUCUGGGUAUAACAAUCACUUGAUUCAACUGGGAGUUAAUCUUCCGGAUGAUAGUGUCAUUGAUAGAAUUUUUCAAUCACUGCCACCAAGCUACAAGAGCUUCGUGAUGAACUAUAAUAUGCAAGGGAUGGAUAAGACAAUUCCCGAGCUCUUCGCAAUGCUAAAGGCUGCGGAGGUAGAAAUCAAAAAGGAGCAUCAAGUGUUGAUGGUCAACAAGACCACCAGUUUCAAGAAAAAGGGUAAAGGGAAGAAGAAGGGGAACUUCAAGAAGGACGGCAAACAAGUUGCUGCUCAAGAGAAGAAACCUAAGUCUGGACCUAAGCCUGAGACUGAGUGCUUCUACUGCAAACAGACUGGUCACUGGAAGCGGAACUACCCCAAGUAUUUGGCGGAUAAGAAAGAUGGCAAGGUGAACAAAGGGACUACGGAUUAG